GCCAGGACAGAGCUGGGGAGCUCCCCCUGCCCAUCCCAGCUCAGCUCAGGCUGCCAUCCUGACUCCUCUCACAGCGCUGAUUCCAGCAAAAGCUGCAGCUUUUGUCCACGGAGGAGCUGGGAUUGGCUCAGCUGGACAGAGCGUGGUGCUGAUAACCCACACUUUCAGAAGAAGAAUCAUUUCUCCUGUGGAGCUUCUGAGCACAUCUGUCUGACGGGGACUGAAGGAGAAGCACAGGACUUAACCCCAUCCCUUGGGGUGGUGCACUUGGAAAGAGAUCAGACCUGGACAUGACAGUGACAUAAGGACAAAGAGGAGGACACUUGUGGAGCCAGUCCUGCUCUGCUCCUUUGGGGAAAUAGAGGGGUCCCAGCAGCAUUACUGGCAAGGCAGAGAAGUCACUUCCCUCUCUGCAAGGACACCUGUGGCAGCAGCAGCCAGGUGGGACCAGGCACGUGGAACAGGCAGCUCUUCCUGAUGUCCCCAUGAGAGCCUUAAGUCCUGCUCAGCCUGUGGGUGCAGGAAUGCUCUGAUCCAUCCCAUGGUGGGAAGUUCCGUCCUGGGAUUUGCUGAGGAGCAGAAUCUCCCUGUGCCACAGGCAGGAUCACCAAACCCAG